AAGAUUGAUUUUGAUGAUCACAAAACUUUGAAGUAUAAAUACUAAUGUUUGUGUUGCAAGAAGAAAGAUAAUUUGUUUUGCAAGGAACAUAGCAAGUUGGAAAAAUACAAGAAGGCCUCAAAAGCUCUCAAGAAAAGUUGGAAGAAAGCUACACUUUAUUGGCCCAAGUUUCAAGUUCAAAGGAUUCAAGUUGGAGGAGCAAAUUCAAAGAAAGAUUCAAAAGAAUAGUCCUCGAGUCGACUCCUGGAAGUUCAGAGUCGA
rnacentral:lncRNA from 1 species